UCUAGUGGCUCAGUUGGUAAAGAAUCUGCCUGCAAUGCAGGAGACCCAGGUUCGAUUCCUGGGUCUGGAA
rnacentral:tRNA from 1 species